UACAGAGGUCUCAAGCGUUGUUCGGAUUCAUUGGGCGUAAAGGGUGCGUAGGCGGCGCGGUAAGUCGGGUGUGAAAAUUUCGAGGCUUAACUUCGAAACUGCAUUCGAUACUGCCGUGCUUGAGGACUGGAGAGGAGACUGGAAUUUACGGUGUAGCGGUGAAAAUGCGUAGAUAUCGUAAGGAAGACCAGUGGCGAAGGCGGGUCUCUGGACAGUUCCUGACGCUGAGGCACGAAGGCCCAGGGGGAGCAAAACGGGG
rnacentral:rRNA from 1 species